CUCCUUUCCCCUUUCCCCUUCUCCCACUCUCUCUACUGCACGCUCCCUCGCCUUCCUCCCAGUCCCAAUGCUGGCAACUCGAGCUGAACUUGAUCCCUUUGCAGUUCAAAGGUGUUAGCUGCAGCCUGAUCAUGUCUGCCUAUUUGGAGAGAAGAGAUAGUACCUACCCCUGCCUUUUUGGUGACAUCUGAUAUGAAACUUGCUUUUGCGACCAACAAAGGGACUCUUUGCUUCUAGCUUCCUCGUCAAACAGAUUUGCUUAAAACAUAGGAGAGAGGGUGAGCGAAAAACAUGGUAAACUUGAAAAGUGAAGUUAUUGCUGACAACCAAGGCUUCCAGAAAUUUGCUCACCAUCCACUGUAUUGGCACAAAGGUGUAGUGCCCGAGGCUCUCGGGUGAUGGACUAUCCCACAGCGCGGGAUGCAGGAAGCCUCCGCGUGGUGGACCGGAAUCCAGCCUCCAGUGUGUGGAACAGGAAGCAAGUCUGUAGAAAGUUCUGCCAAUUGCAGUUAUCCCUGCUUUUCGAAAGUUCCAGCCAGUCGCACCACUAGGCUUUUAUGAAAAACCUACCUUAGCACUCGUUUUCGAUAACCGAAAGAAAUCCGAAGAGGAUCUUUGCCUUGACAAAAGAAAGCGAAAAGAGAAAAUAGAGUUCGGUGUUUGUUUUGCAGCAAGCUGUUGUAGAGGCCGCGUGUGAGAGUGGCCCUGCCAUACUCCUUCCCCGGGAACUACAUUCAGCACCUCAGCAUGAGGCUGCCACAGCUUUGAACGGUGUCGGAGAAAGCUUGAUUGGAAUUUGAUGUCUCUGAUGCCAUGAGUGUCUUUCUUCAAGGGCAGUGUAAAUUCACAAUGGCGCUUGCCACAGAAAACGGAAGUAUCUUUUGACAGAGCUGGCAAUGUGACCUCUGCUUGGGAAUAGGACGGCAGUAGAGGAUUUAUACGAUCCUGGAUAUAUCCUAAGCUAGAGACCACCGACUAUAUGUAGCCUGAACUUGACCAGAUGCUGUGGCAGCAGAUCAUAGAAUCAGGAGCCUUCUGAAAACAUCAGGAGAUUAGAACUGCUUAAGAAGUGGACCUUCUUCCAUUUCUAAUUAUCGUGGGGGUUAUGAAAUAUCCUGGAAUCAGAUAUAUCUAAGUUCAGAUCCUAGCAGAGGAAUCUUGGACAUUCUCAUAACAUUUCUGAUGGUUAUAGGAGAUGAUGAAAGGUAAGUAUGGUUCAUGGAGCCUAAUGAAUUGUAAGUACUCGUUGAAUGAAAGCCGGUGGUGUUACACCUGCUUUAUUUUCCCUGACUUUUCCCUUUGUCUGUUACUGUUCUUGAUCAUGCCUGCCUCUUACUCUGUUGGUUCAAACUCUUCCUCUUUGCUGCUUCCUCCCAUUAUGAGAUUUCUUUUUUAAGAACAUUAGGUUAAUAGCUCUUUAGUUGAUUGAUUACUCAGUUUCAAGCUCUGCAUCGGUCCUGUGUGUCUUUAUGCCAUGAAGGAACCUCACACCCUACCAAUCAGCGCUCAUUGUGUUUGACUUCUUGAUUUCAAACCUUAGUUGCUCAUCACUUCUGUUUGGGGUUUCAGGAAAAACUAGCCUGUCUUUUAAUGCAUCGGAGGUAGAUUCCAACAUAUAAGUAAACAUCUUAGUAGGCAAAGGUUAAAGUGAAGAGAGCGACAACAGCAAAUAAUCUUCUCUCCUCAUUAGCAUGUAAGGAGGGGUUUGGAGCCAGAGAAAUUUUUGAUUCCUAGCCAAUCCACUUAUUAUUCAAGUUCCUUGCACAAGACAGUUAACUUCUUUGAGAGACUUUCCUGAUCUGUAAAACGGGAGUUCAGUUGUUGACUUAGCGGGUUGCUGUGAGAGUUAGAAAUGCACCGCUUUCCUAGGGCGAUGCCUCGCAUAUAGUUGAUGUCCCAUGAAUGCUGGCUGUCCCGGUCAUUGCAGCUAGGAGCAAACCAGCAGAUUGCAGUGGCCUCCUGAGAAGUGGGUACUGAUUAGAAUGAAGGAGGGGGGGAGGAAGACACCCCAGAGAAAAUACUGUCUGCUUCUGCUCAAGGUCAGCCCUGUCAGGCUGCCAAGAGGCGAAGACCUUUAAUUUCAUGGUGUCAUUUUCUCUUCCUAAAAGUACAGUCUGACAUAUAUUUGCUUUUUAAAUUGAAGUGAACUAAAAUUAAUCUCAUUAUGGGAAUCUGAUAGUCCUCAAGGUACUUGGAGACUCCUGAGUGUCACAAAACUAGGAUCAAAAACGCUGGUAAACUGCCAGUGGAAAAAGCAAAGGCAGCUAA